UGAGCGUGCAGAAUAAUCCAAUAUGAUCGCAGACGGUUCUUCUCUUCCUUCUUUAAAGAGAAAGAGACUCCCCGCGGUUGAUUCUUUGGACACUGAAGCUGCAGCAGCUAAGGUCAAGCUUGCUAUCAAAGCAAAGUUCAGGCGUGAUCUUUGUGUGUUUGAGAUGUUUUGUCCGCCACCAACUCAAGUUUCCAAGGAGGAGACAGAUGCAGAGGACUGUCCAUAUAUUCUGGCCACAAGGAAGGAAGAGAAAUUUUGAAGACGAGAAAAAUUCAAGAAGCAAAAGAAUCAGCUCACAAGUCAAGAAUAAGAAAGGUUGUGAUUAGAGUUCGCUUUCCUGAUAAAGAUACAUUAGAGGUGGCAUUUCCUUCUUCAGAAAAGAUUCAGAGCUUAUUGAAUCUUCUCAAGAAAGUUGUUGCUCGACCAGAAUUACCGUUCUAUAUAUUCAAGGGGGAUUUUCGAAGCUGAAGAAGUUGACAUUCGUUUACGUUGCUGUUACCACCCCUCCAUAGAAGCUAGUAAAAAAAUUGUCAGAGAUUUUGUACUCAGGUGGCUUUAGUCCUGGUGCAAUUGUGUACUUUUCAUAUGAUCUACAGAGAGGAGAUGAUGCCGCGGCUAUCUACUCUGGUCCUUUUCUCCGAGAAGAAGUCAUGGCUUUGAAAGGUUUGAAUGUCAUUUCUGAAUCAGCAGCCUGUUCAGUCAGUAACAGGAUCAGUAAUAGCAACUCUCUCCCCUUUUCUUCAAGAGCCUACGCCUGGUGAGAAAAAAAACCCCUUUGAGCCAUUUUGGCUAAAAACGUGAUGCAAUAACAAAUUCUUCCAAAUGAACAUCAGAAUUGUGGCCUCAACACUCAUACAAUCCAUAAUGGAAGGGUUGUUUGUAACAUUAACUAGGAAGCUAUUCAGAACUUACCAUGGUUGAAAGAUGGUAACAGGUCCGAGGAAGUGACUUUUGUAAAAGCUCUUCACACUGACAAUCUUGUAAAUACUGCUCAUAAUUCUGCCAUGCCAUAGUUCUUCUGAGUGCCAUGCGCUUGCUUCACGGGUUAUGUUUUCCAUCGUUGAUCAUGUCCUACGUUUUUUACCCAUCCCUUCAACCUUCCCAGCUACAUAGUUUGAGCUAUCACAUUAAAUGCUUCAAGGAAGAUGCUUUAUUCUGAAGAAAUUUAUAGGGUGUGUUAAAAACAGUGUCUGCGCUCUGAAGGUAGGCACACUGAUUUUUUUUUUCGCCAUUUAAAUUUUUUUCCACUGUCAUUAAUUUUUUUUAAUUUAGUACUUUUGCAUUGUAUUGCGAGGAAUUGAGAUUCGUAAUUGAUAUAUUUGUUUUGAUUU